UACGUAGGGGGCAAGCGUUGUCCGGAAUCAUUGGGCGUACAGAGCGUGUAGGCGGCCCGGUAAGUCCGCUGUGAAAGUCCAGGGCUCAACCCUGGGGUGCCGGUGGAUACUGUCGGGCUCGAGUCCGGAAGAGGAGUGUGGAAUUCCUGGUGUAGCGGUGAAAUGCGCAGAUAUCAGGAGGAACACCAAUGGCGAAGGCAGCACUCUGGGACGUGACUGACGCUGAGACGCGAAAGCGUGGGGAGCAAACAGG
rnacentral:rRNA from 1 species